rnacentral:misc_RNA from 1 species
GAUGAAGAACGCAGCGAAAUGCGAUAAGUAAUGCGAAUUGCAGAAUUCAGUGAAUCAUCGAAUCUUUGAACGCACAUUGCGCCCGCUAGUAUUCUGGCGGGCAUGCCUGUCUGAGCGUCAUUUCAACCCUCGCCCCCGGCUUUUGCUGGGAGCGGUGUUGGGGAUCGGCCGCCCGUCACUGGGAGGCCGGCCCCGAAAUAGAGUGGCGACCACGCCGUGUGCUCCUCUGCGUAGUAGUAAAUCACCUCGCAGGCGGACAGCGGUGCGGCCUGCCGUAAAACCCCCAACUCUUUCUGGUUGACCUCAGAUCAGGUAGGAAUACCCGCUGAACUUAAGCAUAUCAAAAGCGGAGGA